rnacentral:rRNA from 1 species
GAUGAACGCUAGCGGCAGGCCUAAUACAUGCAAGUCGAACGGGCGGUAGCAAUACCGCUAGUGGCGCACGGGUGCGUAACGCGUAACCAACCUGCCCAGAUCUGGGGGAUAGCCCGCCGAAAGGCGGAUUAAUACCGCAUAAACCCACAGUGUGGCAUCACAUAAUGGGUAAAGAUUUAUCGGAUCUGGAUGGGGUUGCGUAGCAUUAGCUAGUUGGCGGGGUAAUGGCCCACCAAGGCGACGAUGCUUAGGGGACCUGAGAGGGUGAUCCCCCACACUGGCACUGAGAUACGGGCCAGACUCCUACGGGAGGCAGCAGUAGGGAAUAGUGGGCAAUGGGCGAGAGCCUGACCCAGCCAUGCCGCGUGCCGGAUGAAGGCCUUCUGGGGUGUAAACGGCUUUUCUCAGGGAAGAAAACGGGGAUGCGUCCUCAACUGACGGUACCUGAGGAAUAAGCACCGGCUAACUCCGUG